AGCAAAAAUUCUAAGGAAAGAAGAAGAGAGUUUCGGCCAAGAUAGAAGGCUUGUUUGGUUGAUUUGGAGCUUUGAUUAAGUGAAGAAGUUAGAAGGAAAAGAUUUUGGAGGAAACGAGAAUUGAAUUUGGACAACCGUAAAAGGUCGAUAGGGUAUGUAAAGUUUUACCUUUUCUUCUCUUGGCAUGUCUUAGGUGUAAUAGGUUUGGAUACGAACCUCGGGGAUGACUCUACUCUUCGGAAUCGACACCUAAAUUUGACCAUUUUCUAUUCAGUAGAAUUGAAUUAAGUAUUUAUGAAUAUUUUUGAAAAAUUAUCUAAACUUCUAGAAUUUGCACAAAUAGGACCCAACUACCUUGAAACUCUUAUAAAUAACGUUAUGAUAUUUAA